rnacentral:lncRNA from 1 species
GGAUCCGUUCAAUUCUCCUUUUCUUAGCCCUGAGGCUGAACCGUUCUGUGUGUGUGUGUGUGUGUGUGUGUGUGUGUGCACGCGCGCGCAUGCUUGCAUGCUUCUUUUUUCAGGAAAUUGCACUCGUUUCUAAGACUUUUCUCAUUGGGCAAUCACCCUUCCAGCUGGAGCCUGGGCAGCCCCCAGAGUCUAAAUCUCCCAACCAGAAUCAUGACAGACAAGAGGUCCCUGGUCUUCCUCACAAAGCCCGAAGUCACACCGUCUUAUGUUCCUGUCUUCUAGAACUUUCUGUCCAGUCAUAAGCUCCCUUAAGAUUGCCAUGUUCAUCCUGCUACUGUGAGGUGUCACAGCAAUGUGUACAUGAACUCCUGCCCAAUGCCCGAGGCUCCUGCUGUCUCCUGGGGCUGUGGACACAGGGCAGUAGGCUGAAGCCCUAUGGAGGGAGAGAACACCCUUUGGUAGCUGUCGUGGGCCUGGCUUUUUUCUCCAGAUUGGAGCCACCAUUCUGCCCUGGAAAUUAUGUCGAAUCACCCUUCCCCCGGGGAAGGUGGCCCACCUUAGCUGAUCCCUGCAGCCUCUCUGCUCCUAUACUCACCCUGCCUUCUCCUCACACCCGCUUCCUAUGGUUUGUUCUUAGAUCUCCUUUGUCUGCUCUUCACAUGACAUGGUUCUGCCCUCAGACUCUCAGGUUGAACAUUCCCCCAGACAGAGGCUGUGUCUCCCCAUCAGACUGGCAUCUCCCACGAGCAGUGGGAGAAGGGACUCUCCCAGUUGAUGGUAUGAGAAAGAAGAGCCUUGGUGGGCUUCAUCCUUAUUCUUCCCCCCCACCCUCCCAAUCAGUGCCCAAGGGUAGCCGGGGACCUUGGGGCCAUGUUGAGGUGCUCUGUCUAAAACAGAGCAUAUAGAACAAUCAGGGAGCCAAGACCUGGAACGACUAUCUGAACCCACAGAUUCAUGGUAAAGGAUAAAUACUUUUUAUAGUUGUGGCUCACGAAAUGGCUCGUGGAAGAAUCCAGAGCAUUGUUAUGAAGUGUCCUCGCCAAGAGACACUGUGUUUCCUUUGUACUGUUUACACUGGCCUUGGCGGCCCUCAACAGAGGAUUUAGCCAAGGGAGCUCUGAGCUGAGGGCUGCAAGCUAGUUAAGUCAUUUACUGGGCACAAAUGAUGCCGCUUUGAUCCAGUCACCUCUCGACAGUGAGCUGAUGCGGCCAUCCCAGCCAGCUCUUAGAAGACCAUUGUGGAUGCUCUUUCUUGGGAGGCAUCUGGAGUGGGACUGGGGCUGUGCGGCAAGACCCCAGAGACUCCAGACUGCGGCCUCUUGAUACCUGCCCCCU